rnacentral:tRNA from 1 species
GCCCGGUGGUGAAACUUGGUAGACACGCCGCACUCGCAAUGCGGCGGCUGUUGCUCGCUCAACGCCGUGAGGGUUCGAUUCCCUCCCCAGGCA